rnacentral:rRNA from 1 species
GUGGGGAAUCUUGCGCAAUGGGCGAAAGCCUGACGCAGCCAUGCCGCGUGAAUGAUGAAGGUCUUAGGAUUGUAAAAUUCUUUCACCGGGGAAGAUAAUGACGGUACCCGGAGAAGAAGCCCCGGCUAACUUCGUGCCAGCAGCCGCGGUAAUACGAAGGGGGCUAGCGUUGCUCGGAAUUACUGGGCGUAAAGGGCGCGUAGGCGGACAUUUAAGUCAGAGGUGAAAGCCCAGGGCUCAACCUUGGAAUUGCCUUUGAUACUGGAUGUCUUGAGUUCGGGAGAGGUGAGUGGAAUGCCGAGUGUAGAGGUGAAAUUCGUAGAUAUUCGGCGGAACACCAGUGGCGAAGGCGACUCACUGGCCCGAUACUGACGCUGGGGCGCGAAAGCGUGGGGAGCAAACAGGAUUAGAUACCCGUGUAGUCC